CGUGUAGGCGGCUCGUCAAGUCUGAUGUGAAAGCCCCGGGCUCAACCCGGGAAGUGCAUUGGAAACUGGCGAACUUGAGUACGGGAGAGGAAAGUGGAAUUUCGAGUGUAGGGGUGAAAUCCGUAGAUAUUCGAAGGAACACCAGUGGCGAAGGCGGCUUUCUGGACCGAUACUGACGCUGAGACGCGAAAGCGUGGGGAGCAAACA
rnacentral:rRNA from 1 species